GCGGCCAUAGUUUAACGGCAAAACUGCAGUUUGUGGCACUGCUAUUAGCGGUUCAACUCCGCUUGGUCGCC
rnacentral:tRNA from 1 species